rnacentral:rRNA from 1 species
CAGUAGCCGCGGGAAUACGAAGGGGGCUAGCGUCGCUCGGAAUUACUGGGCGUAAAGGGAGCGUAGGCGGACAUUUAAGUCAGGGGUGAAAUCCCGGGGCUCAACCUCGGAAUUGCCUUUGAUACUGGGUGUCUUGAGUAUGAGAGAGGUAUGUGGAACUCCGAGUGUAGAGGUGAAAUUCGUAGAUAUUCGGAAGAACACCAGUGGCGAAGGCGACAUACUGGCUCAUUACUGACGCUGAGGCUCGAAAGCGUGGGGAGCAAACAGGAUUAGAUACCCCAGUAGUCCCUGUCUCUUAUAU